rnacentral:rRNA from 1 species
CCCUUAGAUGUUCUGGGCCGCACGCGUGAUACACUGAGUAAUUCAAUGGGUAAGGGAACGCUAGAGCAUUACCUAAUCUUGAAAUUUGCUCGUGAUGGGGAUCGACGGUUGCAAUUUUCCGUCGUGAACGAGGAAUACCUUGUAGGCGCAUGUCAUCAUCAUGCGCCGAAUACGUCCCUGCCCUUUGUACACACCGCCCGUCGCUCCUACCGAUUGAGUGAUCCGGUGAGGCUCUGGGACCUGGACGGAAAGAGCGUUUCGCUUGUUCUGUUUGGGAAACUUGGUCGAACCUUAUCAUUUAGAGGAAGGAGAAGUCGUAACA